GUCAUGUGUGAGUUGGUUGCCCCAUGGAUUGCACCACAUGGUCUGGUCUUCCGUGCCUACAAACCAGGUGUGACAUACCAAUAGUGAUUACUGUGAACAGAACAGAACAAAGAAGAACAGGAGAAGAAACUUCCGAGAAUCAAGGUGAGCUAAAUAUAAUAUCUUAUUUCAGCAUGCUUGACCCUAGCUGAGUUCUUUUAUGGUAAAAGGUGGACAAAGCAUUUGUUUCUUGUUAUGUUUUGUUCGUUUGCUUAUUUGUUUGUUUUCUUGUAGAAAACAAACAAACAACUUGUAUUGUGGUCAAACAAUACAAUACCUGACAAAGCUCUGCUGAGAGCUGCCAUAAAAAAAUAGGUUACAAUAUAUCUGCACAAUUAAUCUGAAAUCAUCCUAAAAGGUUAUCGUAGUUGUUAUUUUAAUGAAAUAUUAUAGUAUAAAUUGUCAAUGUUAGAAGGAGCUUUAACGUUGUCGGUAGCGGCGUUGCGGUCGCCAUCUAGCUCGUCUUUGGAGGGAUGGGUGGGCUGGUGAGCACCAUGGAUCUAAUAUAUCCAUGUUGAGCACACACUAAUGUGCGGGUAGGAGGAGCAGGGAGACUGGGCUUGAGCUUGGUCUCCAACAUAGUGGUAGCAGAAAGAUAACACAAGACGAAGGUUACAGAUAGGAUGAUUCUUCCAUAUUAUAUAACUUUUUAAAAAACAUGUACACCUCAUCUUAAUGGUUACCUCUUACUAUAUUGCUUGUCAUUUUUCUUGAAUGCAUAUAGGCUCAGGAGAGUGAAGAAUGUAGAGAGGAUGGAAGGAGCAUUGAAGCUCAUACCAAUUAAAUGUCUACAAAGAUGCUUAAGGUGCACCCAGAUCUGAACUCUUUAAAGGAGAGAAUGAGACGAACCUAUGCAUACCGAAAGACCUUCAUGGCAACUGCCAAGGCAGAGGAAAUCAUCGAAAAGUUUCUCGCACUGAAGCUUCCUAAAAUACUUCUGUGGGAGAUGAAGGAGCAAUUCCUUGUAGAAGCUGAUCGCAGAAUGGUCACAGAGCUGGUUCGAAUGGCAACGAAGAUGGUUCAAAGAGCAUCUAUGUGUGACCUAAAGGACUGCUGCCAGAGGGCAAUCAAUGCCUGCCUGGAUGAUUCAGUAAGACAAGGUAUCUAGGCCUGUAUGUGUAUCUAUAGGAGCCACAAUCUGUAUUUCUGAAAACAAAAAAUAUUACAGAAUAAUUUUAUUUCCUCAGGACUCAUUAGGGAUGCAGCAAUUCUACUGCUGCCUUCCAUUUUCAGAGAGGACUCAUCCUUUCUAUACACUCUACUGGAGGAGCCAUAGGUGCCUACUCCAGCAACCAUGCUCCAUAACACACACGAGGGGAACCCUUUGCAGGCACAAAGGAUAACCCUAUACCUGGAUGGUAUACAGGUUUUGACUGAGGACAGCAGCAUGGACAUAUCAUAUGCUAUGAGUGAAUUAAUGUCACUCUAUAUUGUUUUUGCUGUCCAGUACCCAAAGGAACUGAGAAAAACUCUUAUUUUCAUUGAAAGAUUUGUGUUGGGGAUCAAGGACCACAGUGUUGUACCCAUUUCAGUGAAGAGACUAUACAACUGUGUCACUGGGGAGUAGUGAGUAGAUGUGUUGCAGCAUGGGAUUUCAUGCUUUAUGUUCUUGUUAAUGGUCAAAUUCCUGCUGCUGCCCUUUGUUUGUACAUAUUGAUAAAAAAAAAAAUCCCUUAUUUAAUACAUAUUUUGGACCAAUACAUUUUGUUUGAUUUUGGCAUAGUGACGUCUCUAGAUUUCCAAUAUUGUUACAAUACGUAACAUUUUGAGUACUUAUUACAUAACACUGAAAAGUAUUUCAACAUUAUUUAAAUCAAUGUGAAAACUUUGUCGGAUUUCCUCACUUUCUCAUGAUUCUGUUCCACUGUCACAAUUAGUACAUACAGUAUGUACACUGAUUCUUUUCAUUGGACCAUGCAUUAUUUUAUUGUUUGUAGAUAGCUUACAAUAAGGCGCAGUAAAUGCAGUAAGUGCACCUUGGAUUGAUUGAACUAAAACUAUUUUGUGUCUCUUUCUGCCAUGUCACCAUUGCUGGAGAUUUAUUUACACAAAUUCACCUAAUGAGGACAGCAUGAUGUGUCUGGCCUGUCAUGUUGCUGAUCCCACUGGACCUAUGCUGACUUUUGACCUGUUCUCCCCUGGGACCUACACAGCCUCUCCUGUU